UCGCAAACCGGAUUGAGUAAAUUUGAAUGGUUGAUGCGUUUCUCUUCCGUCUUGAAGAGCAAAUUCAAUCCAGACUCCAAAAACCUUUUUGAGCUGAAAGACUUUGGUGCGUAGAAAGGUUAUCUGAAAAACCUAAAAUGCAGACACACGACGAUGCUCGAAAUCUUCCCCAUCGACAUGACAUCACCUUCUCUCGUCUCGGCGGUAAUGCAGAAUCUCAAGUACGAGCACACGGAAUGUUAAUAUGUUUCGCGUGUUCUACGUCUGAAUUCGAAUUUGUUUUCGAGAUUGUAGUUUUAAUUUGACUUCAAUUUUGUUUUUUUUUUCUUUUGGAUUCGAAUAAUGAUUUGGUGGAUUGGAGGAAGAAGGUGGCAGCGAUGAGUCAAAAUCUUGAAAGAGUUCUCAUUUGUGCUUAAAGACAUUGAAGUAAACACCAUAAGCAUGCGUGAGUUGGCUCUCUGUCUGAUGCUGAUUAGUGAUUUAGGAUGCACACCGGUCGUUUUCUCAUCCAAAUGACCCUUCUUUUACUUCCAGUGAUUGGUUGCUUAGAGGUCAAAAAGAUCUGAGAUUUCUUGGGAUGAGUGUGUUGAAGCACCUGUGGUAGAAGAAAAUAGCUGAUUCAGCUUUGCUAGAAUCAGGCCAGGAGAAUCAGACACAGAUGAGAGGUUCCACAACUCAAGUCUAAGGGAGUGGAGAAGAGAGGAAACAGAAUAUAGGAACAAGAUCCUUGAUGAUUUGUAUGGGGUUAAGGCAUUUUUGAACCAGCGUUUGAUAGAACUGAGACACGAAGAUAUCAUAUUUUCUGAUAUUUUCAGAAUUGUGGUACGGAUGCCUAGAUAGAAUUGUUUCCGAGCUAAAGGAGAAGAAGCACCAUGAAGUGAAGUUAAGAGAGAGAGCUUGAAAGAUCAGAAUUCACUCUCUCUCCAAUUUGGCUAUAACAGUAAAAAAUAUGUGUAUGAAGAAGAGAUACAGAAAAUGGUCAGUUGGAGAGGUGGGUGAAGGUAGGCGAGGAGGGGAAACGUGUGCGUGUUGAGUAGAAAGAUUUACUAAAAGGGUCCACCUCGGUCUUCUCCGCUACACUGCUUGCUGCUUCCUUGUUCUGUUUCUGUAUCAAUCCAGUGAGUGCUUCCACUAUUUCUGAAACCUCUGGUCUAAACUCCUCUGCCUGCUUGUUGGAAGAAUGAUUUAGCUAUUGUAUUUGCAAGUGAAGAAUCUACUGACAGUUACCUGAGUGCAUAGAGAGAUAAUGAAUGCGUAAUGUGAGGCGACUCUUAUGGAGAAUGUGCCGACUAUGCCUUGAUCAAUCAUAUGUUCUAAGCUUCUCUUAUCAUGAAGUCUGGUUGAUGCCCAUUUCACCAGUAGCUGUUCUCCUUGGGGGCGUGAGCUGCAAAUAAUUUUCUUAAGCUUGUCUAUUGCAACCGAGCAAGUAUGUGAAAGGCUUGUGAGUACCUGUCAAAUGCUUUACUUCCUGUUAACAGUUCCAAGAGUAGCACACCCAGUGCAUAAGUGUCGCUCUUUGUGCCGCUGCUUCCUGGCUGUCCAUGUUCUGGUGCUAUGUAGCCAGUGUUUUGUAUGGCUAUCUCUGAAGCCUGCUUCAGACAUUAGGUAUCAAGUCAAAGAACAAAGCGAGAUAGAAUGUAACGUUCUUCACUUACCCGAAGCUUGACACUGUUGCUUGUGAGUGGCCUUAAACUAGCAAGCCCACAGUCAGCAAUCCGAGGCGUGAGUUCUUCGUCUAGUAAGAUGUUUGUUGCUUUCAGGUCGCUAUGGGCAAUAGGAGGGCUAAACGAGGAGUGCAAAUAGCUGAAAAUUUUGAUUCACCAGAUAGUGAGUGAUGUACCAAAAUGAGUAAGCUAUUAUAUAUGUUUGAGAAGAUCAGGAUACUUACUCCAGAGCUCGGGCAACUCCGAUAGCAAUGUGGAGACGGAAUCCCCAAGAAAGUGGCUUGUAUACAUCAUCAUGCAUAGCAUUGUACAGCGACAAAUGCCCGGCAUACUCAUAGACAAGAAGAUGCUUCCCAUUAUCAAUGCAGAAACCGAGAAGUGUCACAAUGUUUGGGUGUCUUAGUUUGGAGGCUGUUUGGAGAAGUUCAGUAAAUUUUUCCUCUUCAUGUAAAGACAGCGAAGACAUUGGGAUGUUUCUCACAGCGGCCAACUGUUUUAAAGAAAAAACACCAGUGAAUGACAAUGGAAGUGAAUUUUUGAAGAGAGAGAAGAGAAGUUAUACUUGACCAUCAGGCAACUUUGCUCUGUAAACAGAACCAAGAGGACCCUCUUCGAGUAGGUUUUCAUCACUGAAACUGUUAGUUGCCAGUUCAAGCUCUGCAGCUGAGAAAAGCUUCGCGUAUGCUGGAUAUUGGCAUGUAGCAGAGAAGCUGUUUCGUCUUGCUGUUUUAUCGGUUCUGACAGGUGGAGGAGGUAUAUGUCGCAGCUGAGGAACUGGCGGUGCAAUAGAAAAUUCUGUUAAAUCUGAAGUUAAAAAAAUCAGUCCUGAGGAAUCAGAAUGGCUAUGGUGAUAACCGAUAAUGAGGGGAGAGAAAGGUAUAGAUCACCUCGGUUUGUACUGACUGGAAGAGAGUAUGUUGUGCUAUUGCUGCUUCUUUGACUAGCUGCAAGGUUCUGUGAACGUCGAUGAUGACUCAUUCGAACUGCAAAAACUGCAAAGAAAGUUCCAAGCAAAGCCAGUCCGCCAACCAGCAAAACAAUACUCACUGCUCCUAAUCCCUUCUUCUUCUUUCUGACCUUCUGAGGUCUGGGAAAGUCCAAGAUGGCACUUGACUGAGUAGUUGGAUAGCCACGAGCAUUCUGAAUCAUCGGUACAACAUCCAGAGGGAACUUCCACGGUUUAUAGUUGGGCUCUACGUGAAACUUGUUUCCCCAUAUCCUGCUCAGCAAACACCAUUGAUUAUCCCCAGUCUUAGGUGUCUUGAGCCAAUUUUUUGAGAAGAGGGGAGAGUAGUAACUCACCACAGAUGAGGAAUGGACUGAAAGCUACUAGGGAAGAUACCACUGAACUGGUUAUCUUCGAUAUUCCUGAAGACAUGUGCAACAACGAAGCGUUUUUGAGAUCAUCAACAUAAAGGAUGCUCAUUGAAAUGCAAAAUCAAAGCACAGAGAGAGAGAGAGUUAGCUACAGGUCAGUUAAAGGAAGAUCCGCGAGGUAGAUGAUUGAUCCUGUAAACCUGUUGUGCUGGAGGUACCUGUAGUUUUGUUAUUAGGUUACACCUACGUGCACAGAGCUGAUUGCAGAUAAAGAUUUCGAGAUAACUUACAAUGAGUUCAGAUUCAUCAGAGUUCCAAAAGAGCUCGGUAAAUCUCCCGUCAAGUUGUUGAAUGAGAGAUCCCUGGCAAAGUCAAGAUAAUUUGAAGAAUGAAUGGAGCAUCUUGCAUCUACAUAUCACGAUGAAAGGCUAACUGAAGACUCACAUUUCUUUAAUCUGUAACCCGGAAAACACAUUUGCUAGAGGUCCAGAUAAUGAAUUAUGGCUCAGGUUCCUAGAGACAGAGCAAGCCAUUACUUAACAAAUCAGGAGAAAGGAAGGUUAGUUUGUUAUAAGCCAUUUGGAAUAAGCUACUUACAGGAAGAGGAGAGAUGUCAUGAGAGGUAACGAAAAGAGGAGACUCUGAGUCAGAUUGUUAUAAGCCAUGUUUCUGUAAUCAAACAAACAAAGGAGAAAAUCUCCUGAACUGCACUCUGCUGGUGUAAGCUUUAAAUAAUGAAUGAACAACGCUUACAAAUGGGUAGCGUUUGGAGGCAAGCCAAAAGGAAUGUCACCUUGGAGGUUAUUGAAGCUAACAUCCCUAUCACAAAGAAAAGUGAUUCAGUCUCAUGAUGGAGUUAGCAUGAAGAAGAGGAAACUUUGCUUUACAUAUUCUUUAAACUGUGGAGACGGUGAAGGUUGUUUCCAAGACUUCCCAAAAGACUAAGCCCUCGUAGCUGCCUGCGAGAUCAUAUGAAUCAGAUUGUUUUUGUUCGCAACUAUGAUAAUAAUACUGUGGGGAGAGAAUUUACAAGGCUACUAUAGACGAUCCAGAACAGUAAACUCCCAUCCAGAGUUCUCCGCAUGGAUCUCCUCCUCCCUCGAAUCUCCAUCCUCUCAGCUGCUGUGGAUUGUUUAAAGACUUGUGGAGAUCUUCAAGAGCCGAAACUAACGAAGAAACAAGUAACGUCAAAGGAUCUAAGCAACGCGAUUUAAACCCCAAGAAUCAGGUGAGAAUCUGGAUAAUUACCUUCGAGUGGAUUAGUAUAGGUCUCAGCUAGCGUAAACAGCAUCACCGUGGAGAUAACUGCAGCGAGGUAACGCGAUUGCUGUUUGGUUGUCAUCUCUAGGAAGUUUCUCUCGCUUUCCGGGAAAGUUUCGGAGGAGAGAAAGAUCAAAACAGAGCGGAAGCGUAAAACGCGCGAAGAUUCCACGUCAGCAAAAGCGGUUAUGGACGUUGGAGUCAACAAGUCAACUAGUCAUACCGUAUACGGGCCUCGCUAUGCCACGUGGUGGCCGUAUUUUUCAGCUAAUCUUAAUCUAAACCAUCAAAAAUGAUCAUAGCUCAUUGGAAUGAGCAUGAAAUGGAUGGACCACUUAUCAACCACUUCCAGGUGCGGGCACAAAGCCAAUGGUACGUGGUCCCGUGCCCCGUCUUAUUUUUAACUUUUCCUAUAGUAAUUAGUAUAAAAUCUGAUGAAUGUCACACUUGGAAAAUUAAACAUAAUGUAAGAAGGUCAUGUGCCCCAUUUAAAUAUAGUCCUAGAUGGCUAGAUCCGCUCCCGACCACUUCCAUGCAUAGAUUUUAUGCAGCAGGAUUGAGGUGUUUUUACCUUCCUUUCAUCCUGCUUUUGUAAACAUCGUCAAACAUAUCAAAAGCCCACUUGCUAUUAUGA